AGUGAACGCUGGCGGCGUGCCUAAUACAUGCAAGUCGAACGGAUUGGCGCACGGGUGAGUAAUGUAUAGCUAAUCUGCCCUUCACUAGAGGACAACAGUUGGAAACAACUGCUAAUACUCUAUAGUGUAGGAUGAGGCUAUAUUGUAUCAGCUAGUUGGUGAGGUAAUGGCUAACCAAGGCUAUGACGCAUAACUUGUCUGCGAGGAUGAUCAGUGACACUGUAACUGAGACACCGUCCAGACUCCUACCGGAGGCAGCAGUAGGGAAUAGUGCUCAAUGGGGGAAACCCUGAAGCAUCAUCGCCGCGUGGAGGAUGACAAUUUGCGGAGCGUAAACUCCUUUUGUUCGGGAAGCGGUACCUAACGAAUAAGCAACGGCUAACUCCGUGCCAGCAGCCGCGGUAAUUC
rnacentral:rRNA from 1 species